ensembl:lncRNA
CAGGUCAGUAGUGGUAGUACAGGUCAGUAGUACAGGUCAGUAGUGCAGGUCAGUAGUGCAGGUCAGUAGUGGUAGUACAGGUCAGUAGUACAGGUCAGUAGUAGUUGUGCAGGUCAGUAGUACAGGUCAGUAGUAGUUGUGCAGGUCAGUAGUACAGGUCAGUAGUGCAGGUCAGUAGUGCAGGUCAGUAGUGGUAGUACAGGUCAGUAGUACAGGUCAGUAGUACAGGUCAGUAGUGGCAGUACAGGUCAGUAGUACAGGUCAGUAGUACAGGUCAGUAGUGGUAGUACAGGUCAGUAGUACAGGUCAGUAGUUGUAGUACAGGUCAGUAGUACAGGUCAGUAGUACAGGUCAGUAGUGG